rnacentral:tRNA from 1 species
GCCCAGAUAGCUCAGCGGUAGAGCAGUGGAUUGAAAAUCCUCGUGACUCCAGUUCAAUUCUGGAUCCGGGCU